UUCUAAUGUUUGAAUAUUUAAAACUGUAGAAAAUAAAAUAAAGAUAUUGAAACUUAUGAUGGUGUCGUCUUCGUUAUCACAGUACAAUUUGCAAUGAACAAUGGGUUUUGUGAUUUUCGCUAUGAUAUUUCUACCUCCAGCAGUUUAUUCAGUGCCAGAUAAUAGACAGAACUUAUCAGUAGCAAAAGGAACCUGAUCGAUCAGCAGAUCAUAGAUAGGUAUUCAUAAGAAGUUGCCAUCGUAUGACACGGUCACGCUUUACUGAGUUAAAUUUUAUUUCUUUUGUCAUCACUUUUAAAUAAUAUUUAUAACUCUUUUCUUGUGACGACAACCUAUAUGAAUCAGAAAUGUAACGAAUGGUAUUGUGGGAACCAGGUGUUGCUGCGUUGGUGCUUACGUGAGUUCGUGGACUUCACAUCGCCGACCAAAUCCGAGUUCAUUUUUCCUUACAAUAAUUCCAGUUCUUUCUAUAAUAUUAUUUCCAAAGUUAUAUCCAAAUUUGGUUUUCUACCUUCUAUAUAUAAUUCUUUUUAUCAUGUUUUCUAAAUGGAAUAUUCUUUUC